CAUGAUUGCUUUGUGAAGCCUCCAUUGUUUUCGAUUUGGUGUUGAAAGCGAACCCUGGCGGUGUUAAUCUGCCACCCGAAGCCGGAGCGUGACGAGCGAAUUACACCUUGUUGGGAAUAAUUGCGGGUAUCGCCUCAAAGCGCUGUGCCCAGUGUGUCAACACCCGUGCGGUGCAUCUUUUCCAAAAUCAGGCGGCCUGGCACACCCGGGAGUACCUGGCCGAGAAAAACAACCCAACGGAAAGCAGGGCCCAGGAUGACUGAGAAGACAAGGGGCGGCACGGUCCCUCCUGGGGCUAUAAGGUGCACACCAGUGGCGCUAAGCCAGGGAUGAGAAACAGGUGGGCCUGGUCUCCCAUCGCCGGGGCGACCAGCCACCGGGGAGGAGCUUGAAUAUGCUAGCUCAGAGAUGGGGAUGCUGCCUCAGCUGGACUGCAACUGACGGUAGCCUCUUCUCCAAACAACAACAAUGAAAACGUGCUGUCGACUGGUCUAAGACCAGGGACUUGGCGAUGACAAUGCUCGGUGGCAGGUCUGCGUUGCUUGUCUGUGUGUGUGUGUGCAUCUGCAUUAUUCCAAUGUAGUUUAUUAAAUGUGCAGAUAUCCCUGGCCAAAGCCAUCACCCUCCUUUCCACAUACUCCAGUUAGUGCUUUGCACUCAGGAAAUGUGGAACCGUGCAAUGCACACAAUUGCAAGUUCAAGGGGAUAGAUUUGGGACUAUACAGGUCAGCCACAGAAUGAGUACUACAGUAAGUAUGUUAUGGUGAAACCAAGUUUUGUUUGAUUCUUUUUUUUAAACCUUGU